GACGAACGCUGGCGGCGUGCUUAACACAUGCGAGUCGAACGGAAAGGCCCUGCUUUUGUGGGGUGCUCGAGUGGCGAAAGGGUGAGUAACACGUGAGUAACCUGCCCUUGACUUUGGGAUAACUUCAGGAAACUGGGGCUAAUACCGGAUAGGAGCUCCUGCUGCAUGGUGGGGGUUGGAAAGUUUCGGCGGUUGGGGAUGGACUCGCGGCUUAUCAGCUUGUUGGUGGGGUAGUGGCUUACCAAGGCUUUGACGGGUAGCCGGCCUGAGAGGGUGACCGGCCCCAUUGGGGCUGAGAUACGGCCCAGGCUCCUAGGGGGGGGAGGGGGGGGGAAUUUUGCAAAAUGGGCGGAAGCGUGAUGCAGCAACGCCGGGUGCGGGAGGACGGCCUUCGGGUUGUAAACCGCUUUCGCCUGUAACGAAGCGUGAGGGACGGAAAUGGGUAAAGAAGCACCGGCUAACUACGG
rnacentral:rRNA from 1 species